CACGUCAAGUCUGGUUGUUUUUACCUUCUUCAAAUAUCUUGCAUCUGUUCCUUUUUGUUCCCAUUGCCGAGUCUUUAGUUCAGGGAGAAACCACCCUCACAUAUCUCGGUGACUCCUUCAGCAGCUGACUGGCCUCCAUGCCUCCCGUUUUAACCAACUCCAACAACUUAUCCAGCAUCGCCUUUAUAAGAGGGACCAAGCCUGGCCAUGCUGGAAGACAACCGCAUGUUUGUGAAAAACAUGAAGUGUGUGGAUGUCCCGCCAAGAGCCUAAGGAGCCAGCCACACUUCACUUCCACAAAGGACUGAGUACUUCACUCAGGGUCCAGACUGCAGUUCUUAAAGAGGGGGAUGGUCUGUCACAGGUGGCAUCUUUCCCUUGGGUUUCCCUCUUUACCUGCCGUGGACCCGUGCUCAGGUUGUGGGACAAAGGGGACUGUGGUAGAGCCUUAACAGAAAGGUUUCACAUGUGGCUCUGUAAGACCUGGAUAAUAAAGUAUAAUC